rnacentral:rRNA from 1 species
CCCGCUCAGAAACUACAAAUGAAUUGACGGGGGCCCGCACAAGCGGUGGAGCAUGUGGUUUAAUUCGAUGAUACGCGAGGAACCUUACCUGGGCUCAAAUGUAUGUUGACGUAUUCUGAAAGGGAUACUUCUUCGGACAAUAUACAAGGUGCUGCAUGGUUGUCGUCAGCUCGUGCCGUGAGGUGUCGGGUUAAGUCCCAUAACGAGCGCAACCCCUAUCAUUAGUUGCCAUCAGGUCAAGCUGGGGACUCUAAUGAAACUGCCUACGCAAGUAGUGAGGAAGGUGGGGAUGACGUCAAAUCAGCACGGCCCUUACGUCCAGGGCUACACACGUGCUACAAUGGCCGGUACAAAGGGCAGCUACCUGGUGACAGGAUGCUAAUCUCAAAAGCCGGUCUCAGUUCGGAUCGGAGUCUGCAACUCGACUUCAUGAAGCUGGAAUCGCUAGUAAUCGCAGAUCAGCCAAGCUGCGGUGAAUACGUUCCCGGGCCUU